rnacentral:rRNA from 1 species
CUGGGGCUGGAGUCGGUCCCAAGGGUUGGGCUGUUCGCCCAUUAAAGCGGUACGCGAGCUGGGUUUAGAACGUCGUGAGACAGUUCGGUCCCUAUCCGCUGUGCGCGUAGGAGUCUUGAGAAGGGCUGUCCCUAGUACGAGAGGACCGGGACGGACGAACCUCUGGUGUGCCAGUUGUUCUGCCAAGGGCAUGGCUGGUUGGCUACGUUCGGGAGGGAUAACCGCUGAAAGCAUCUAAGCGGGAAGCCUGCUUCGAGAUGAGGACUCCCACCCACUUGAUGGGGUAAGGCUCCCAGUAGACGACUGGGUUGAUAGGCCGGAUCUGGAAGCACGGUAACGUGUGGAGGUGACCGGUACUAAUAGGCCGAGGGCUUGUCCUCAGUUG